rnacentral:rRNA from 1 species
UGGGGAGUAUUGCACAAUGGGCGCAAGCCUGAUGCAGCCAUGCCGCGUGUAUGAAGAAGGCCUUCGGGUUGUAAAGUACUUUCAGCGGGGAGGAAGGUGUUGAGGCUAAUAACCUCAGCAAUUGACGUUACCCGCAGAAGAAGCACCGGCUAACUCCGUGCCAGCAGCCGCGGUAAUACGGAGGGUGCAAGCGUUAAUCGGAAUUACUGGGCGUAAAGCGCACGCAGGCGGUCUGUCAAGUCGGAUGUGAAAUCCCCGGGCUCAACCUGGGAACUGCAUUCGAAACUGGCAGGCUAGAGUCUUGUAGAGGGGGGUAGAAUUCCAGGUGUAGCGGUGAAAUGCGUAGAGAUCUGGAGGAAUACCGUUGGCGAAGGCGGCCCCUGGACAAAGACUGACGCUCAGGUGCGAAAGCGUGGGGAGCAAACA